rnacentral:rRNA from 1 species
UACGAAGGGGGCUAACGUUGUUCGGAAUUACUGGGCGUAAAGCGCACGUAGGCGGAUUUGUAAGUCAGGGGUGAAAUCCCGGGGCUCAACCUCGGAACUGCCUUUGAUACUGCAAGUCUCGAGUCCGAUAGAGGUGAGUGGAAUUCCUAGUGUAGAGGUGAAAUUCGUAGAUAUUAGGAAGAACACCAGUGGCGAAGGCGGCUCACUGGAUCGGUACUGACGCUGAGGUGCGAAAGCGUGGGGAGCAAACAGG